rnacentral:rRNA from 1 species
UACGGAGGGGGCAAGCGUUGUCCGGAAUUAUUGGGCGUAAAGCGCGCGCAGGCGGUCCUUUAAGUCUGAUGUGAAAGCCCACGGCUCAACCGUGGAGGGUCAUUGGAAACUGUGGGACUUGAGUGCAGAAGAGGAAAGUGGAAUUCCUCGUGUAGCGGUGAAAUGCGUAGAGAUGUGGAGGAACACCAGUGGCGAAGGCGACUUUCUGGUCUGUAACUGACGCUGAGGCGCGAAAGCGUGGGGAGCAAACAGG